GUCCACGCCGUAAACGAUGGGCACUAGGCGUCGGGGGGAGCGACCCUCCCGGUGCCGUCGCUAACGCAAUAAGUGCCCCGCCUGGGGAGUACGGCCGCAAGGUUGAAACUCAAAGGAAUUGACGGGGGCCCGCACAAGCGGUGGAGCAUGUGGUUUAAUUCGAUGCAACGCGAAGAACCUUACCUGGGCUUGACAUGCACGUGAAAGCCGGUGGAAACACCGGUCCUCCUUCGGGACGCGUGCACAGGUGCUGCAUGGCUGUCGU
rnacentral:rRNA from 1 species